rnacentral:tRNA from 1 species
GGUUUUAUAGUGUAGCGGUUAGCACUUCGGAUUCUGAUUCCGGCAACCCCGGUUCGAUUCCGGGUAAGACCU